AGGUGUGUUUGAGGUGUUGAGUUUGACAAGGGCGGUACACCUGGCAAACGGUAACGCAGGUGUCCUAAGGCGAGCUCAGGGAGGACAGAAACCUUCCAUGGAGCAGAAGGG